AUUGAACGCUGGCGGCAGGCCUAACACAUGCCAGUCGAACGGUAGCACAGAGAGCUUGCUCUCGGGUGACGAGUGGCGGAAGGGUGAGUAAUGUCUGGGAAACUGCCUGAUGGAGGGGGAUAACUACUGGAAACGGUAGCUAAUACCGCAUAACGUCGCAAGACCAAAGAGGGGGACCUUCGGGCCUCUUGCCAUCCGAUGUGCCCAGAUGGGAUUAGCUAGUAGGUGGGGUAACGGCUCACCUAGGCGACGAUCCCUAGCUGGUCUGAGAGGAUGACCAGCCACACUGGAACUGAGACACGGUCCAGACUCCUACGGGAGGCAGCAGUGGGGAAUAUUGCACAAUGGGCGCAAGCCUGAUGCAGCCAUGCCGCGUGUAUGAAGAAGGCCUUCGGGUUGUAAAGUACUUUCAGCGGGGAGGAAGGUGCUGAGGUUAAUAACCUCAGCAAUUGACGUUACCCGCAGAAGAAGCACCGGCUAACUCCGUG
rnacentral:rRNA from 1 species